rnacentral:SRP_RNA from 1 species
GCUGGGCAUGGUGGCACACACCUGUAAUCUCAGCUACUCGGGAGGCUGAGGCAGGAGAAUCACUUGAGCCUGGGAAGCAGAGAGUGCAGUGAGCUGAGAUCAUGUCACUGCACUCUGACCUGGGCAACAAAGUGAGAUCCUGUCUCAG